UACGGGGGGGGGCAAGCGUUUGUUCGGAAUUACUGGGCGUAAAGGGCUCGUAGGUGGCCAACUAAGUCAGACGUGAAAUCCCUCGGCUUAACCGGGGAACUGCGUCUGAUACUGGAUGGCUUGAGUUUGGGAGAGGGAUGCGGAAUUCCAGGUGUAGCGGUGAAAUGCGUAGAUAUCUGGAGGAACACCGGUGGCGAAGGCGGCAUCCUGGACCAACACUGACACUGAGGAGCGAAAGCGUGGGGAGCGAACAGG
rnacentral:rRNA from 1 species